GAUGAACGCUGGCGGCGUGCCUAAUACAUGCAAGUCGAGCGAACAGACGAGGAGCUUGCUCCUCUGACGUUAGCGGCGGACGGGUGAGUAACACGUGGAUAACCUACCUAUAAGACUGGGAUAACUUCGGGAAACCGGAGCUAAUACCGGAUAAUAUAUUGAACCGCAUGGUUCAAUAGUGAAAGACGGUUUUGCUGUCACUUAUAGAUGGAUCCGCGCUGCAUUAGCUAGUUGGUAAGGUAACAGCUUACCAAGGCAACGAUGCGUAGCCGACCUGAGAGGGUGAUCGGCCACACUGGAACUGAGACACGGUCCAGACUCCUACGGGAGGCAGCAGUAGGGAAUCUUCCGCAAUGGGCGAAAGCCUGACGGAGCAACGCCGCGUGAGUGAUGAAGGUCUUCGGAUCGUAAAACUCUGUUAUUAGGGAAGAACAAAUGUGUAAGUAACUGUGCACGUCUUGACGGUACCUAAUCAGAAAGCCACGGCUAACUACGUG
rnacentral:rRNA from 1 species